CGAAGACGAUUGUUUCUCAAACAAGUACCAGUUUUACUCUGGAUUUUCAAGUCGCUUGCAACUGAAUGACGGAGCGGUGCCAACGAUAAAAGUGACCGUUUUGGAGUCUGAACCACAGCCGGAAUCAUGGUACGUUACAAAGUAGAAGAAGAUUGCUGAACAAAAGACUUCUCAAAGAUGUGGGAAAGCUGAGCCACCAUCAACAAACUUCAGCUCUAGAGGCAUUUCACGGUGUCAUUCUGAGAUUUGCACCGAAGAGUGUUGUUUUACUGUUUAUUUCAUGCUAUGCAGACUCUAUCUAGCGGGAAUGCAUUACAAUGAAAAUGAAGAUCGUGAUCAGGCAACGACCCUUGAGGGCACACCUGUAUACUACGUGAUGUACCCAAAAUCAAAGAAGGGGCAACCAAUAGUCAAGCCAAAGAAAACAGAGCCCACUUUUGGAUACAUCAGUGACCUCAUGACACUGCUGUUCAUGGAAGUGUUUGACAACCCUGAAGUCUUUGUUGAGGAACU